UACGUAGGCAGCGAGCGUUGUUCGGAGUUACUGGGCGUAAAGAGUGCGUAGGCGGUUUUCUAAGUUUGGUGUGAAAUCUCCCUGCUUAACUGGGAGGGUGCGCCGAAAACUGGAAGGCUUGAGUAUGGGAGAGGUAAGCGGAAUUCCUGGUGUAGCGGUGAAAUGCGUAGAUAUCAGGAGGAACACCUGCGGUGUAGACGGCUUACUGGACCAUAACUGACGCUGAGGCACGAAAGCGUGGGUAGCAAACAGG
rnacentral:rRNA from 1 species